AACAAAUUCACAGACGCGCAGGUGGGCAUGAAAACACGGAAAUUCACAGACACGCAGGUGGGCAUGAAAACACAGAAAUUCACAGACGCACAGGUGGGCAUGAAAACACGGAAAUUCACAGACACUCGCAGGUGGGCAUGAAAACACGGAAAUUCACAGACGCACAGGUGGGUAUGAAAACACGGAAA